UACGUAGGCAGCAAGCGUUGUUCGGAGUUACUGGGCGUAAAGAGUGCGUAGGCGGUCCUGUAAGUUUGGUGUGAAAUCUCCCGGCUCAACUGGGAGGGUGCGCCGAAGACUGCAGGGCUUGAGUAUGGGAGAGGUAAGCGGAAUUCCUGGUGUAGCGGUGAAAUGCGUAGAUAUCGUAAGGAAGGCCGGUGGCGAAAGCGAGCCUCUGGACAGUUACUGACGCUGAUGCACGAAGGCCAGGGGAGCAAACGGG
rnacentral:rRNA from 1 species